GACGAACGCUGGCGGCGUGCCUAAUACAUGCAAGUCGAGCGAGCGGAACCAACAGAUUUACUUCGGUAAUGACGUUGGGAAAGCGAGCGGCGGAUGGGUGAGUAACACGUGGGGAACCUGCCCCUAAGUCUGGGAUACCAUUUGGAAACAGGUGCUAAUACCGGAUAAUAAAGCAGAUCGCAUGAUCAGCUUUUGAAAGGCGGCGUAAGCUGUCGCUAAGGGAUGGCCCCGCGGUGCAUUAGCUAGUUGGUAAGGUAACGGCUUACCAAGGCGACGAUGCAUAGCCGAGUUGAGAGACUGAUCGGCCACAUUGGGACUGAGACACGGCCCAAAACUCCUACGGGAGGCAGCAGUAGGGAAUCUUCCACAAUGGACGCAAGUCUGAUGGAGCAACGCCGCGUGAGUGAAGAAAGGUUUUCGGAUCGUAAAGACUCUGUUGUUGG
rnacentral:rRNA from 1 species